GCUCGGCGGCUGCGCCUUGGAGGGCUCGCUGGGCGCUCGUGGAGGUCGCCGUGGACCCUGGAUGCCGGCGGGGGAGUGAGGGGCGCGGGCCGGGCGGGAACCCUGUCGCCCGGGCUCCGGGAAAAGGAGAGAGACACACAGAGAGAGAGGUCUUCCCUCCACUGGUUCACUCCCCAAAUGGCCAUAACGGCUGGAGCUGAGCUCAUCUGAAGUCAGGAGCCAGGAGCUUCUUCUGGGCCCCCCACGUGGGUGCAGGGGCCCAAGGACUUGGGUCAUCCGCUGCUCUCCCAGGCACAUCAGCAGGGAGCUGGAUUGGAAGUGAAGCAGCUGGUACACUGACGAGUGCCUGUAUGGGACGCCAUGCCACAGGCUGCACCACAGUGCCAGCCCCUGCACGUUUUUAAAAAUGUCAUCCAUAUUCCAGGGGGAUAAUGAUCUGCUAGUUUUCACCUGGGGACUGUGUUUGCCUGGUUUGAUGUUACAGCUUUCUGGGAUAUGUCCCCUCCUUCUUUUCCAUGGCUGUAGUCAGUGCCACUCCCGAGCGAUUCCCUGAUGGCUCUGCUGGCAGACCCCAGCGAUGCAGAGGAAGAAGGAGUCCACCUGGCAGCGCAUCUCACGUCCGGCAGAAUAUUCCUGAGGAACAAAGGGGAGACAGACAUCCUCAGGGAAGGAAAACGAGGCAGCCUGCUGACAGCAGGUCAGGAAGGACGCGGAGAGGAGUGCAGGGAACACGAUGGGUCAGCCUGCACCUCCUGAGUUCUAAAAUCACUUCGUGGUUGAGGCCAGAAUGUUCAGGGCAUUCAAUUGGUGCUUAACAUACUUACAGGAAAUUCUCGAGGCAAUUGUUGUUAGAAAGGGGGAGAGUAAACGAGCCUAAAUAAAAGUGACGUUUUAUUUUAAUGUGCGGCUUAAAGCAGUCAAACAUCCACGUGCGUGAGACCGUGGUUAGUUACACCUACCUGCUGAAGCACCCGGGCAACUUUACGGAACAAUAUUCUCCAGUGUUUUGAGUACAUCAGAAAUGGAAUUCUAAAAAAAUAGGUGCAAGUUAUCCAUUGCACACCAAGAAAAACAGCACAGGAAACAAAUAGAAAAGAAGAGCCUAUGCAAGCCCUAUGUAUUGGUCACUCAUUAACCUGAAGAGACUCAUUGAAGAAGCUGGAUGCUUAAUUUUAAAAGUCUCCUUUCCCUCAAAUGGCUUAAUUGGAGAAUUUUACCGAGAAUUUAAAAAUAUAACACCAACUUUACAAAAAGUCUACAGAAUAUAGAAGAGUACUGAACUUCCUAACCCAUUUUAUAACAAAGGCAUACAAAGACGGUAUGAAAAAUAAAACCUGUAGGUUGUUCUCGCUCAUAAACUUAGACACAAAAAUCCUUAACAAGAUGUUUGCAAACUGAUUCUAGCAAUAUAUAAAAUGAGCAAUGUGCACAUCCAAAGUGAUCUGUUCAAAGGCUGCACAGCUAAAUUUGUGUUCGAAAGUCAAGCAAUGGAAUCUACCCGGCAACAGGCUAAAGAGGACAAGUUGCUGAUCAGGUUGCCUGACACAGAAAAAGCAUUUGGCGAAGUCCAACACUCACACUAAAAUGAAAUCACUGGUCAGCAAGCAAGAGCUAAAGGGAACUUCUUUAACUUGAUAAAGCACACCUACAAAAUCCCUACAGCUAACAUCAUAGUUAACUGAAAAACUGGAUCCUUCCAAGUGGAAAACGAGGCAAGUAUUUCUGCUGUCAUCACUCUUACCUACAGAACGCUGACAGUUGCAACCAGUGACAGGAAGCACACGGGCACAUGCACACACACACGUAAGUCAGCCAGUGACAGGAGGCACACGGGCACAUGCACACACACACGUAAGUCAGCCAGUGACAGGAGGCACACGGGCACAUGCACACACACACGUAAGUCAGCCAGUGACAGGAGGCACAUGCACACACACACGUAAGUCAGCCAGUGACAGGAGGCACACGGGCACAUGCACACACACACGUAAGUCAGCCAGUGACAGGAGGCACACGGGCACAUGCACACACACACGUAAGUCAGCCAGUGACAGGAGGCACACAGGCACAUGCACACACACGUAAGUCAACCAGUGACAGGAGGCACACGGGCACAUGCACACACACGUAAGUCAGCCAGUGACAGGAGGCACACGGGCACAUGCACACACACGUAAGUCAGCCAGUGACAGGAGGCAAACGGGCACAUGCACACACAUGUAAGUCAACCAGUGACAGGAGGCACACAGGCACAUGCACACACACGUAAGUCAGCCAGUGACAGGAGGCACACGGGCACAUGCACACACACACAUGUAAGUCAACCAGUGACAGGAGGCACACGGGCACAUGCACACACACACAUAAGUCAACCAGUGACAGGAGGCACACGGGCACAUGCACACACACACGUAAGUCAGCCAGUGACAGGAGGCACACGGGCACAUGCACACACACAUGUAAGUCAGCCAGUGACAGGAGGCACACGGGCACAUGCACACACACACGUAAGUGGUACAAAAGGCAGGAGACUGAAAUGGAAAAGGAAACUGUCUUGUUUGUAGAGUACAUGCGUGUUGCUUAGAAAACCCAAAAGAAUCUUCAGCUCCUAGAGCCAAGUUCAGCAAGGCGAACACACAAGAUGGCACAGAAGAUAACAAAGUCAGCUGCAUUCUCCACACUAACAACUGGAAACUGAAAUAAAAGGUGGAAUGCAAUUGCUCCAGAACAAUGCGACACUUACGUCUAAACCUGACAAAGCGUCUCAGGCUCUGUACGUUGGUAAGUACAAAAAUCCUCAGUACUGAAGAGACUUCAGUGUUCACAGAUUGGGAGAACCAGCAGAGUAACAGUGCCAGUUCUCCAAUGUGUAAGUUUAAUGGAAUUCUAUAAAAAUCUUAGCAAGGUUUUUUAGUUUUUGGUGAAUACGGACAAGCUUAUAAACUUUGUGUGGGAACAACAUAGAAGCCCUAGAAUGGACACAGUAAUUUUGAAACGGGAUACAGUGGGAAGACUCACUCUCAGGUUGUUAAGGUUUAUAUAUAGUGACAUUAAUCAGGACCUCGUGGAACUGCUCACGACUGGUAGUCACAGGCACAUCGGUGAAGCAGAACAGAGGAUCCACACUAAACCAACACAGACACUCUGAACUGAGACUUGACAGUGGUGCAGAUGCAGUUCAGUAAGCAUGGUGCUGCAGCAAUUGGAGGUCCAGGAGAUAAAUGAAAUCUGAGCUUCACACAGAAAAACGAACCUAAAAUGGACCAUGGAUACAUGUAAAAUACAAAUCUAAAAGCUUUUAGGGGAAAAAAUAGGAAAAUGUCAGACUUAGGACUAGAGAAAGAAUUCUUAGGCUUGACAUCAUAAGCACAAUUCAUAAAAAAAAAAACUUGAUAAAUUGGACUUCUCCAAAGUGAAAACAAACAGUAUGUUGGGCCAGCAGUGGGCCUGCAAUGUCACAACGGGCUUGCGAUGGUGCCAUCCCGUAUCAGAGUUUGAGUCCCAGCUGCUCUACUUCCACCCCAGCUCCCUGAUAAUGAACGUGGGAAGGCAGAGGAAGAUGGCUCAAGUGCUUGGGCCCCUGCCACUCACUUGGGAGACCAGGAUGGAGCUCCUGGCUUCUGGCCCAGCCCUGCAAUUGCAGCCAUUUGGGGAGUGAACACUGGUUGGAAGACCUUUCACUCUGUCUCUCCCUCUAUGUCCCUCUGCCUUACAAGUAAAUAAAUCUUAAAAAUUUAAAAAAAAAAAAGGGCUUACUCUGAGAGACCCUCUUAAGAAGAUGAGAAGUCAAGCUGCAGACGGAGAGAAACUCUGCAAACCACAUCUGACAAAGGCUUUUCCAGAGUAAAGAACUUCGCAAGCUGAGUGUUUGGAGGCAAGUAACCCAAUUAGGAAAAGACACAAUGAACAGACAUUUCACAUGUCCAACUUCAUCACCACUACAGAUGCAUGGAUUAGGUCUGAUGAAAUAUUCUAAAAAUCAGACAAAGUUGAAAAUCAUGGAGACACCAGGUGCACAGAAGCCAUUUCCUUGCAUGCUGCUGGUGAGGGCAUGAACAGCCCCACUCUGCUGAGACGUCGACAGUCACCUUGAAACGAACUGGAUUCUUCGUACCACCCAGCAGGGUGGCGCUGCCAUUUACCCUGGAAGUGAAAGCUUAGCUCACAGGAAAUUGGAACCUUACUGUCCCUCAACACACGAAUGAAUCAACAAAGUGUGGUAUAUCCAUAGCAAAUGACUGGGGUACAUACCAGCUUACAUGGGUCUCUAGGGAGGUAUGCUGAGUGAAAAAAAGUUUAUCUCAAGAGGUUACAUACAGUAUGACUCCACUUUUCUAGAAUCCUUGAAAUAACAAAGUUAUAGGAAUGGGGAACAAAUUAAUGGCUGUUGGAGGCCAGAAAAGUGUGUGGCUGUGAAGAAAAUGCAAGGGUGAUGGAAAUAUUCUGUCUUGAGUGUGGUGUAGCCUGUGAAGCUGCAGACGUGGGUGAUAAAAUUUCAUGGAACUACAUGUGUGCUACAUGUGAGUGCAUGUUUAACUGGACAGUUUUUAAUAAAUUCUGAGAUUGCACCAAAUAA